UGAGCAACCUGCCCUUGACCCUGGAAUAACAGCUGGAAACAGCUGCUAAUACCGGAUACGACCUCCGAUGGCAUCAUCUGGAGGUGGAAAGCUCCGGCGGUCAAGGAUGGGCUCGCGGCCUAUCAGCUUGUUGGUGAGGUAACGGCUCACCAAGGCUUCGACGGGUAGCCGGCCUGAGAGGGUNAUCGGCCACAUUGGAACUGAGACACGGUCCAGACCUCUACGGGAG
rnacentral:rRNA from 1 species